AGGUGUUCUCAGAGUCUGUCAGGUCC
rnacentral:piRNA from 1 species